ACCUCCUCCUGGUUCCACCUCCAUCACUCUUCCUCCAUCACUCUCUCCUCCUGUUCUCUCUGUGUUGUCAUGUGUUGGAUCAGUCUGUGUUGUGGUUCUACUGGUGUUACUGGUUCUGCUGGUGAGACGAUGUGUUCACAGGAAACGUGAAGCUGAACACGAGGCAAACAUGGGAAGUGACGUCAACACUGAAAUCACAUACGUCCAAAUAUCACAUCGCCAGCAGCAAAACAAAGACUUUAAAUCAGAGCCAGACGUGAUCUACUCUUCAUUGAAGUAGUCCACCAGUCCAACCGCUGACAUCCAGCUGCUGGUCUCUGACUGCCCCCCCCCGCACCUCAGACCAGAGGACAUCCAGACGUCACAGAGAUUUUUAUGUCUUUUUUCUA